AUGAACGCUAGCUACAGGCUUAACACAUGCAAGUCGAGGGGCAUCAGGAAGAAAGCUUGCUUUCUUUGCUGGCGACCGGCGCACGGGUGAGUAACACGUAUCCAACCUGCCCUUUACUCGGGGAUAGCCUUUCGAAAGAAAGAUUAAUACCCGAUGGCAUAAUGAUUCCGCAUGGUUUCAUUAUUAAAGGAUUCCGGUAAAGGAUGGGGAUGCGUUCCAUUAGGUUGUUGGUGAGGUAACGGCUCACCAAGCCUUCGAUGGAUAGGGGUUCUGAGAGGAAGGUCCCCCACAUUGGAACUGAGACACGGUCCAAACUCCUACGGGAGGCAGCAGUGAGGAAUAUUGGUCAAUGGGCGCUAGCCUGAACCAGCCAAGUAGCGUGAAGGAUGAAGGCUCUAUGGGUCGUAAACUUCUUUUAUAUAAGAAUAAAGUGCAGUAUGUAUACUGUUUUGUAUGUAUUAUAUGAAUAAGGAUCGGCUAACUCCGUGCCAGCAGCCGCGGUAAUACGGAGGAUCCGAGCGUUAUCCGGAUUUAUUGGGUUUAAAGGGAGCGUAGGUGGACUGGUAAGUCAGUUGUGAAAGUUUGCGGCUCAACCGUAAAAUUGCAGUUGAUACUGUCAGUCUUGAGUACAGUAGAGGUGGGCGGAAUUCGUGGUGUAGCGGUGAAAUGCUUAGAUAUCACGAAGAACUCCGAUUGCGAAGGCAGCUCACUGGACUGCAACUGACACUGAUGCUCGAAAGUGUGGGUAUCAAACAGGAUUAGAUACCCUGGUAGUCCACACAGUAAACGAUGAAUACUCGCUGUUUGCGAUAUACAGUAAGCGGCCAAGCGAAAGCAUUAAGUAUUCCACCUGGGGAGUACGCCGGCAACGGUGAAACUCAAAGGAAUUGACGGGGGCCCGCACAAGCGGAGGAACAUGUGGUUUAAUUCGAUGAUACGCGAGGAACCUUACCCGGGCUUAAAUUGCAGUGGAAUGAUGUGGAAACAUGUCAGUGAGCAAUCACCGCUGUGAAGGUGCUGCAUGGUUGUCGUCAGCUCGUGCCGUGAGGUGUCGGCUUAAGUGCCAUAACGAGCGCAACCCUUAUCUUUAGUUACUAACAGGUUAUGCUGAGGACUCUAGAGAGACUGCCGUCGUAAGAUGUGAGGAAGGUGGGGAUGACGUCAAAUCAGCACGGCCCUUACGUCCGGGGCUACACACGUGUUACAAUGGGGGGUACAGAAGGCAGCUAGCGGGUGACCGUAUGCUAAUCCCAAAAGCCUCUCUCAGUUCGGAUCGAAGUCUGCAACCCGACUUCGUGAAGCUGGAUUCGCUAGUAAUCGCGCAUCAGCCAUGGCGCGGUGAAUACGUUCCCGGGCCUUGUACACACCGCCCGUCAAGCCAUGGGAGCCGGGGGUACCUGAAGUACGUAACCGCAAGGAUCGUCCUAGGGUAAAACUG
rnacentral:rRNA from 1 species